rnacentral:RNase_MRP_RNA from 2 species
UUCAUAGACAAAGAUUUGCUAACGAAGCUUUCUGAAAUGGCCCCGUGCCAUGGUCUCGGCCAAUGCUUCGGGGAAAGUCUCCGGCCGCAGCAGCGGAAACGUGGCAGUGCGUGACACUGCUUGUGCCAUUUGCUCUUGGCCCAUGGCUCCAAGUAUUUUUGGCGUCUGCUGUUUCUACGGCAUUAGUUGCGCCCCUUUCUGGUCUCUUUUUUGGCUGCUUUAGCCUGUUCCUUUUGAACUGAGGGCCGAGGCAGUUUUGCAGAAGAAAGACUGGUCUGGGGUUUGCAGCUCUUGCUUGUGUUGCAGCGCAAACGGAUGUCCAAGUGUUUGGAGCGUGGAGCUGUGGAGCAGUGGUGCUUCCUCCGGGUUCUUAUGGGGGCCCGGGGUUUGUCUUUCGGCAACGGGAUAUUGGUAUCCUAAACCCUAGUUAUUGCAAGUGGCCACAAUGUGGUUAACCCAAUGGAGCUCACUCUUGUUUAUGA